rnacentral:rRNA from 1 species
GCUCCAGCAGGUCAGCGGCGGACGGGUGAGUAACACGUGGGCAACCUGCCUGUAAGACUGGGAUAACUCCGGGAAACCGGAGCUAAUACCGGAUAGUAUCUUGAACCGCAGGUUCAAGUUGGAAAGACGGUUUCGGCUGUCACUUACAGAUGGGCCCGCGGCGCAUUAGCUAGUUGGUGAGGUAAUGGCUCACCAAGGCAACGAUGCGUAGCCGACCUGAGAGGGUGAUCGGCCACACUGGGACUGAGACACGGCCCAGACUCCUACGGGAGGCAGCAGUAGGGAAUCUUCCGCAAUGGACGAAAGUCUGACGGAGCAACGCCGCGUGAGUGAUGAAGGUUUUCGGAUCGUAAAACUCUGUUGUUAGGGAAGAACAAGUGCGAGAGUAACUGCUCGCACCUUGACGGUACCUAACCAGAAAGCCACGGCUAACUACGUGCCAGCAGCCGCGGUAAUACGUAGGUGGCAAGCGUUGUCCGGAAUUAUUGGGCGUAAAGCGCGCGCAGGCGGUUUCUUAAGUCUGAUGUGAAAGCCCCCGGCUCAACCGGGGAGGGUCAUUGGAAACUGGGAAACUUGAGUGCAGAAGAGGAGAGUGGAAUUCCACGUGUAGCGGUGAAAUGCGUAGAGAUGUGGAGGAACACCAGUGGCGAAGGCGACUCUCUGGUCUGUAACUGACGCUGAGGCGCGAAAGCGUGGGGGAGCGAACAGGAUUAGAUACCCUGGUAGUCCACGCCGUAACGAUGAGUGCUAAGUGUU